GCCAGGCAUGAUGGCACCUGCCUGUAGUCCCAGCUACUUGGGAGGCUGAGGCAGGAGAAUUGCUUGAACCCAGGAGGCAGAGGUUGUGGUGAACCAAGAUCACGCCAAUGCACUCCAGCCUGGGCAAUAGAGCCAGACAACGUCUAAAAAAAGAAAAAAUUUGUUUGGGUCAUUAUUGUGUGUUGCUUUUUUUUUUUUUUUUUUUGAGACAGAGUCUCGCUCGGUUGCCCAAGCUGGAGUGCAUUGGCGUGAUCUUGGUUCACCACAACCUCUGCCUCCUGGGUUCAAGCAAUUCUCCUGCCUCAG
rnacentral:SRP_RNA from 1 species